rnacentral:rRNA from 1 species
UGGAUCCAGACUUUGAUCAUGGCUCAGGAUGAACGCUGGCGGCAUGCCUAAGACAUGCAAGUCGAACGAGAUGGCCUUUUGAAAACUGCGUGCUUGCACAAGGUUGGAAAGAGAUUCUCCAUCUAGUGGCAGACGGGUGAGUAAUACAUAAGUAAUCUACCUUAAAGACUGGGAUAACGUUUGGAAACGGACGCUAAUACCGGAUGAUUCUUCUUACACAAGUAAGAAAGCUAAAAGGAGCGUUUGCUUCACUUUGAGAUGAGCUUAUGGCGUAUUAACUAGUUGGUGGGGUAAUGGCCUACCAAGGUGACGAUGCGUAGCCGAACUGAGAGGUUGAUCGGCCACAUUGGGACUGAGACACGGCCCAAACUCCUACGGGAGGCAGCAGUUAGGAAUAUUCGUCAAUGGGGGAAACCCUGAACGAGCAAUGCCGCGUGAGUGAUGACGGUCUUUAUGAUUGUAAAACUCUGUUGUAAGGAAAGAACCCUUAUCAUAGGAAAUGAUGAUAAGCUGACGGUACCUUACCAGAAAGCCCCGGCUAACUACGUGCCAGCAGCCGCGGUAAUACGUAGGGGGCGAGCGUUAUCCGGAUUUAUUGGGCGUAAAGCGUGUGUAGGCGGUUUGUUAAGUCUAAAAUUAAAGCCUGGGGCUUAACUCCAGUUCGUUUUAGAAACUGGCAGACUUGAGUGUGGUAGAGGCAAGUGGAAUUUCUAGUGUAGCGGUUAAAUGCGUAGAUAUUAGAAGGAACACCAGUGGCGAAGGCGGCUUGCUGGGCCAUUACUGACGCUGAGACACGAAAGCGUGGGGAGCAAAUAGGAUUAGAUACCCUAGUAGUCCACGCCGUAAACGAUGAGUACUAAGUGUCGGGAAACCGGUGCUGAAGUUAACACAUUAAGUACUCCGCCUGAGUAGUACGGUCGCAAGGCUGCAACUCAAAGGAAUUGACGGA